rnacentral:misc_RNA from 1 species
UAAUUCCUACAUUCCAUGUAUUUCUCUGGUGUAUGAUCUGGUGAUUUUCCACAGAAAAAAUGUGGCACCACUUGCCUUUCCAAUCGAUUCACCGUGGCUGGUGAAAACCAAUCUGAAUGCAUUGGAACCACAUGAACUCUAGUCCCAAAUCGUUUUACAACACCUUUGCCCUCCAUAUUCGGAGGCGGCGUCACCACAUAAGCAGAAUUUCCACCAUCAUUUCUCUCCUGAUCAGACCCAAAACCCUCGGCAGGCACUGUGGAGACAGCCUGCAGUUGCCCGUACGAAACAUUCUCGAAAUUAGGCACCUGCCCCCUACAACUACCAUUAUUGGCCCCAAUCAAAUUCGCCCUCUCUAAGGCCACAAUAGCGAAAACCGACUCAUGCGGCCGAUUCACUGCAAGCUUCGCUACGGAAGGGAAGUCACAUAUGCGGACCUCACCAUCAGCGAUGACCUCAGUUUUGAGAUGGUUGGGAUCAGGAAGAGCAGCAGAUUGGGGGAGGUUGGGGUCCUCAGAAUCGUCGUCGAGGUGGUUGUUAUUGUUGUAGUCC